AGAUGGCUGGAUUUACUAUCAAUUCAGUCUUUAUUACGUUUCCACUGAGAUGAAGAACUGGACCGAGAGCAGAAGAUACUGUACAGAGAGAGGAGCAGAUCUAGUGAUCAUUAAUAACAGCCAAAAACAAGAAUUGGUAAAGAAAAUAUCCUGUGGAGCUCAAACCUGGAUUGGUCUGACUGACGAUGAUGUGAAUGGCACAUGGACAUGGGUUGAUGGCAGCACACUGACCUCUGGGUUCUGGAGGCCCGACGAGCCCAAUGGACAUUUAAGAGAGAACUGUACUGUCACUCAUUCAUCAGGAUGGGCUGAUUAUUCAUGUACUAUCUUGUUCAAAUGGAUCUGUGAGAAGAAACAUUUUAAAUGACUUGUUUAUUUUAAGUGUAGACAUGCAUUUAGCAUCAU